UGGGGAAUAUUGCACAAUGGGCGCAAGCCUGAUGCAGCCAUGCCGCGUGUGUGAAGAAGGCCUUCGGGUUGUAAAGCACUUUCAGCGAGGAGGAAGGUGGUGAGCUUAAUACGUUCAUCAAUUGACGUUACUCGCAGAAGAAGCACCGGCUAACUCCGUGCCAGCGGCCGCGGUAAUACGGAGGGUGCAAGCGUUAAUCGGAAUUACUGGGCGUAAAGCGCACGCAGGCGGUUUGUUAAGUCAGAUGUGAAAUCCCCGGGCUCAACCUGGGAACUGCAUUUGAAACUGGCAAGCUAGAGUCUCGUAGAGGGGGGUAGAAUUCCAGGUGUAGCGGUGAAAUGCGUAGAGAUCUGGAGGAAUGCCGGUGGCGAAGGCGGCCCCCAUGGACGAAGACUGACGCUCAGGUGCGAAAGCGUGGGGCAGCAAACAGGAUUAGAUACCCUGGUAGUCCAGCGCUGUAAACGAUGUCGAUUUGGAGGUUGUGCCCUUGAGGCGUGGCUUCCGGAGCUAACGCGUUAAAUCGACCGCCU
rnacentral:rRNA from 1 species